CGACUCUGCAGAUGAGGAGACUGGGGCUCAGAGAGGUUAAGACAUUGUUCAAGGUUACACGUCUCGAGCCAGAUUAAAACAAGCUGCUGCUGUUUUCCAGAGUUGUAACUUCAGACCCCCUCGCCCCCCUCCCCAGCCUUCCCUCUGCCUCCUGCUCCUGGUCACCUGCCCUUAAGUGGAUCGUGUCGGCAGACGCAGGGGUGGCUCACCCGUGACCCCUUCGCACACCUGCCCUCUCACGGUCACAGAGCAGGUGCGGUCCUUUCCCACCGAGAGCACAGGUGAGGCAGCGACCCCUCCGCUCAGGCUGCUGGCCCUGGACAUGGUCGUCCUCCCAACACCUUAGAAGAAAGAAAUGCUUCUCGGGCCUCAGAACUCGUCCUGAACAAACCCAAGAUCCAUAAUGAGCUCUGGGAAGAGGCAUGAGUGUAGGAGAAAUCUGUCCACACUGCUGGGCCAAGCCUCCGGACAAGCACGAGGAGACCCAGCAGUGUUUUUGUUUUAAUCCCGAAGAAGAAAAAACCACCUUUGAUUAGAUUAAAUAUGCUUUGAGUAGGGCCCGAAGUCCUCAGCUUUAAUGUGCAUGAGAUCUGAAACCCAAGAUGUUUUCAGAGGCUUUGAGAGCGGCCCUGACAGCACGCGACACCUGCUCUCUCGGUCCGUGGGCUGUCGAGGGCCGGGCAGCGGAGAGGGGCUCCCUGACGUGGCUGCAGCCCGGCCCCAGGGGUAGCGGGAAGAGCACGGGCCGGCACCUGCCCGCGGCUCCGGUUCUCCCUCAAGCACGCACGCUCAGAGGGCACGUGUCUGCCACUCCCUCACCUGCGUGAGGGGAGAUGUCAUCUCCCACCCCUGGAACGAACGCCACGACUGAGACGGGCAGGUGACCUCGGGAAGAAGCUGGCGGUGGACGCUGACCCCACGGCCUUGAACCGACAGCCACUGAGAGGGGACACAGGCGCCACUCCAGGGCUCGCGCACGGGCAGGCGUCCUCCCCUCAUCCCUCCCAAGUGGCUCCAGAACAAGCUGCAGAAUUUCCCUGUUGCAGAAUUUCUGAGAGAAUUGUAGACCCGAGAGCUGGAAGGGGCCUCGCGAGCUGGCGCGAGCCCCUUUCCUUCCAGCAGGGGCAGAUCUGUGCCUCCUGCUUUGUGAACGAGGUGACUGCGGUGCUGAGGCUGGUGGUUGCUGUGCUGACGUGACCAGCAGGCGACGCUGGUGUGGAGGCUGGGGGAUCCUUGCCUUCUGUUACCCCAAACUGCUUCUCACAUGUAGAAGAUGCCACCAUCAUGCAGAGUAUGAAUCAGGAAACAUGAAAGUCAUGAAAAAAGGCACGCAGGACCCACAGGAGCCUUGGCAGCCAAGUCUGAAGGAUGUCACCCCUGGCGCACAGUGGGUCCCCGCACACUGACAGUGGAGGCUGGGCAAAGGUGACCGGCGACAAAAGCAGUGAGCUUGAAGGCCGCGAGACCGGCCCGUUGGGCCUGGGUUUGCGCGCAGACCGUAUGUGGCCGGUGGAUGCGCGGUGCCUCUGAGAUGUCACAAAAGUGAGUCCAUUCAACAAGAAAGCUAGUUUGGUAAAAGAGGGAAGACCGCCAGCGGGGCGGAGGCGGCGGCAGUUGCAGGGCCCGGACAAGCCGAUUAGCCGCCAGCAGCGCCGUGGCUCCCGUGCCGAGGCCCCUGCGGCCCGCAGCCCCGGAGACGUGCGGCGCCGGGCACAGGGCAGCACGGGCCGGCGGAGGCCGGGACCUUAUCGGGACAGCCUCCCGG
ensembl:lncRNA